UACGGGGGAUGCAAGCGUUAUCCGGAAUCAUUGGGCGUAAAGCGCCUGUAGGUUGUUUAAUAAGUCUGUUGUUAAAGACUAGGGCUCAACCCUAGAAAAGCAAUGGAAACUACUAGACUAGAGUAUGGCAGGGGUAGAGGGAAUUUCUAGUGUAGCGGUGAAAUGCGUAGAUAUUAGAAAGAACACCGGUGGCGAAAGCGCUCUACUGGACCAUUACUGACACUCAGAGGCGAAAGCUAGGGUAGCAAAAGGGAUUAGAUACCCCUGCAGUCCUAGCCGUAAACGAUGGAUACUAGAUGUUGUGCGUAAAGUACAGUAUCCUAGCUAACGCGUUAAGUAUCCCGCCUGGGGAGUACGCUCGCAAGGGUG
rnacentral:rRNA from 1 species